AACUCGACUACAUGAAGCUGGAAUCGCUAGUAAUCGCGAAUCAGAAUGUCGCGGUGAAUACGUUCCCGGGUCUUGUACACACCGCCCGUCACACCAUGGGAGUCAGUAACGCCCGAAGCCGGUGACCCAACCAGUUCAGGAGGGAGCCGUCGAAGGUGGGACCGAUAACUGGGGUGAAGUCGUAACAAGGUACC
rnacentral:rRNA from 1 species